GCAUCUAUUUUCACACAGAUGUUCACGUGAUUAAUUGCCAGAAGUACACAUCACUCGUCUCCUGUUGUCUGAUGCAAGAGAACAAGACUUGGUCCUAGCCCAAAGAUUCAGAUGAAAGUCUGAUGUCACCAGGUUAAAUGAUUGGUGGAUGACAAACCCAGGCUUCUUUUUUAGUCUUGCACAUGAAUUCGAAAGUGAGUGCAAAGGGACCGGCUAAACAAGCUCCUAGAGUGUCUCCAGGCAGAAGGAUGCACUGGUAUUUUUCCCCUAGAUGGUGUGCUAACCGUAGAAUCAUAGAACAGUUAGGGUUGGAAAGGACCUUAAGAUCUGUGUUAGUAAACAGAAUCAUCAUCCUGCUCCAAAAAACAGGUUGAACCGGGAAUGGGAGUGGUGCCUGCCAGGUGACACAGAGGUCGUGGGGCACAGGGAGCAGAUACACCCAUGGCAGCUCAGGAGGAACUAAAGCUUCCCCUUCCCAGGCUGUGGCAGGUCAGCACAAGACCAGGAUGAAGCAGGACAUGGUCCAGCUCUGCAGCAUCGCAGGGGAAGCAGCCAUACAAUGAACUGCACAAAGGAGCUUGGCAUCAGCCUAUGGGCUGUGGAUCUAGGAGCUGGCAAUGAAAAAAGGCUUGAAGAAUGCAGCUUGCACGUGUAUUGCCCGCACAGGGAGGAGGCAAAGCCACGAGCAGACCUGCGGCCUCUCUCCGAUUUGGCUGGAGUGUGCAGCUCUGCUCAGGCCGAGAGAGGGCACUCGAGAGCUGAGGAUCUUCUCAGAGCCUGAGCAGAGGCAGCCCCGCGGUUCAACACAAGGGAUGGAAACAGCCUCCCCACACCACACAUCCUUUGAGGUCUGCUUCAUCCUCUGCCCCAGCAACCUAGGGACCACUCAAACACCUCCGGGAAGCAGUUUCAGGUGGUGAUCUCUACAGGAGAGUAGACCUGGCCUCUUUCCCCAGUUACAGCUUGAGCUAAAUGAAGCCACUGUUUUUUCUGUUAACACAGCUGACCCCUUAGAGCUGAUCAGAAUGAUAGAAAGAAGGACCAGCCAUUUCCCUGGUCAGAGCUUGUGUCUGCAGUGGGAAGCCUUAUACCACACAGGUUCUUCCACAAAAGGGAGAGCAAAGUCCAGUUGUUUCUGCUCCAAGGGCCAGGAAGGGGCAUCUGUGCUGGGGCAAACACCAGGUAAAGCCAACUGAGUCACUGUGACUGUUCGGCCAGAGGUAUAGACUAAAAACCCACUGCAGUGUCCUGCAAAUCUGCUGUCAAAGACAGUCUUCCUCCAGCAGCUUGGCCAAUGGGAGGAAAACACACACAGGGAAAUAAAGAGGUCCAAAUACCUUUACACUUCAGGCCCAUCUUUCACAUGCGUUUUUUUGAAUUCACAACCUCUAUAAUUAUGACGCUGAAACUUUCCCUGUGGGAAGAUAGCUGCCAUCUUGACAUCUGCAAGUGAGUUGUGAGCAGAAUAAAUCCCUUCAGGUAAUGUUAAAGGACAGUGUACUCCAGUCCUGCAGGACCUGCUGCAACAGCAGCCACAAACAUUGGUUCUCCUUUCCAGAGGCAAUAUGCUUUGAUUCCUCUUCCUGACUGUGUUUGGAAGAUUCUGGGAGAAACAGUUGGCUGAUGAAACACAAUUCAAUGAAACAAGAAGUUGAAAUAACCCUAGGCAACUUCCAGAGGGCAAGAGAUGAGCACAGAUCAGAUCCCUACAAGCAGCCCAUAUGUCCAAAUGUGGCUGGCACCUACAGUGAAACUCACUGGCUGGCCCCAGCUCAAAUUUGGUUAUGGAGAGACUGUUGGGAUGCACCUAUAUGGCUCUGCUAUUGGGUGCUAAUAAAGGGGAGAUCCUCAACCUCAUAAAUCCUUUAAACAUUC